rnacentral:rRNA from 1 species
GCGAAAUAGUGAUAUAGAGCAAAACCCUAAAAACGGUCUCAGUUCGGAUUGAAGGCUGAAAUUCGCCUUCAUGAAGCUGGAAUUGCUAGUAAUGGCAGGUCAGCAUACUGCCGUGAAUACGUUCCCGGGCCUUGUACACACCGCCCGUCACACCAUGAGAGUUGGGAAUACCCGAAGCCUGUGAGCUAACUGUAAGGAGGCAGCAGUCGAAGGUGGGAUUGAUAAUUAGGGUGAAGUCGUAACAAGGUAUC